rnacentral:rRNA from 1 species
GGGUGUGAUCAUACCAGCGUUAAUGCACCGAAUCCCAUAAGAACUCCACAGUUAAGCGCGCUUGGGCUAGACUAGUACUGGGAUGGGUGACCUCCCAGGAAGUUCUAGUGUUGCACCCU